CCGCGGGAACACCGGCAGCUCUAGUGGUAACAAUUUUAUUGGGCCUAAAGCGUCCGUAGCCGGUUUAAUAAGUCUCUGGUGAGAUCCUGCAGCUUAACUGUGGGAAUUGCUGGAGAUACUAUUAGACUUGAGACCGGGAGAGGUUAGAGGUACUCCCAGGGUAGAGGUGAAAUUCUGUAAUCCUGGGAGGACCGCCUGUUGCGAAGGCGUCUAACUGGAACGGUUCUGACGGUGAGGGACGAAAGUUAGGGGCGCGAACCGGAUUAGAUACCCGGGUAGUCCUAACUGUAAACGAUGCGGACUUGGUGUUGGGUGGCUUUGAGCUGCUUCAGUGCCGAAGGGAAGCUGUUAAGUCCGCCGCCUGGGAAGUACGGUCGCAGGACUGAAACUUAAAGGAAUUGGCGGGGGAGCACCACAACGCGUGGAGCCUGCCGGUUUAAUUGGAUUCAACGCCGGACAUCUCACCAGAGGCGACAGCUGUAUGAUAGCCAGGUUGAUGACUUUGCUUGACUAGCUGAGGAGUGGUGCAUGG
rnacentral:rRNA from 1 species